CGUUUUUAAAUAGAGAAAUAGGUUACCAGUAUAGUAAUACUCGCAGCGUAUAUAUAAUACAUUUUAGAUUACCAGAACUUGUGAAAUGCAUGAAAGUAUGUUAUUGCGCACAGCGAUUUCCUUUUCUCCUGUCAAUCAAAAGUAGCAAGUCAUUCGUUGUAAACAUUACUUAUAAUCAUGAGCAAAACUGGAAAAAAUGGUCUUAAAAUAAACAGUGAAAAUAACAACUUCACAACACCACCCCAAAAAUAAAAACAAACAAAAACAAAAACAAAAACAACUGUUUAUGAUAACAACACUUCAUAAUAAAUGAAAAAAAAACACAGUGUAACUUCUGUAAUGUGAAAUAAUAAAGGC
rnacentral:lncRNA from 1 species